UUCUUCUCUCUCUCUCUCUCUCUCUCUCUCUCUUUCUUUCUUUCUGACUUCUUUCCACCAGAAGAUUGGAAACAAUAUUCUUUUCUGAUCAAUUCAGUAAUACAGUGCCCUUCAGUGUUCAGAUGGGCAUUUCAGUGGAGAAGAAAAGAAACUUUGCUACCUGGGAACCGAAGACUACUUAGUGGAGAUGCCUGCAUCCCACACCCGAUGGUCUCAUCUCUCCAAGGCAGUGGCCCCUCAGGAAAUCUUCACCACGGAAGAGGAGCCCAGACUCCGGGGAUCUCCUGGAUGAAUCACAAUUGAUGCCUCCCUUCUCACCUGGAUCACCUUGCUUCCUUCAAGAAAAAAGGGGUGGAAAGAGCCCACAGGAACUGAAAAGCAUUUGAAACUAAAGAGGCCAAGUAACAAAGAGCUUGAAGACAAGCACAGUUCUCAGGCCCUGGAUAGAGGCUGGCAGCGUCAGACCGACAGAACCAAGACGUCGGGUCGGAGGGGCAACGCUUGUGGCUGCGGAGCACAGGAUAUGAAUCAGAGAGAAAGAAGCGAAGUCUUGUCCCAGGAAGAACGGGAAGGACUGGCAGAGGAGUUUUCACUGACUUGUCUUUGGAAAAAGUGGAGAAGAGCCGGUAAACUUGGUUUCCUCACUCCUGCUCAUUAGAUGCGGGUAAAUGAUUGGAAGACAUUGACUUAGCAAGAUGGAAGCAGGUUUAAAAAUAAAAUUCAUAAGAAGUUAUCUUUUCCAGAGUAAUCACAUGCAAUUUCCUUGCAACAAGACAAAAUUUACUUGGGAAGAGGUACUCCUUGUUAAAUGGCCAGGGCUUGGGGUGCCCUUUUCUGCAUUGUUCAUUGAGUGUGAAUGAAGCCAUCAUGGUUGUGAAGAUGAUGAAUGGCUUGGCUUUGAUGUUACCAAGCUUUCACAGUUGCUGCAUCUUCCUACUGAGUUACAUUUCUCAGGACAGUUUUUGAUGUUCUUUUUUCAACUAAGGAAUACAUUUUAUGAUAAUGGUAAUAGGGAUGGAAAUGACGGUGAUUUAUUUCAUUAGAAUUCACCAUGCAAAUGGAAUGGAGAAUAAAUAUUGAGUCACAUUUGUUUUACUUAAUCAAAAUUGAAAAGUCCUUCAAAUUAGGGGAUGCACCAUUAUAGUAUCAACUGUGUCCAGCAAUGUCUGUUCAGUGUAUUACUGUAUUAAAUAUAUUUAUCCUGACAUUGGCUUCUAUUUUGAAAUCUCAGGAAUGAAGUCCAUAAAUCUUCACAUCUAAGAGAAUUUCAGUCAACCCUGCCCAAAGAGUUAAUAUGUAAUAAUUAACCACUCAUCCUCAGUUUUUCUCAACAGAUUUCAUUUUUCCUUAUCAAAUAAGUAUUAUUUUGCUGUUUUAAUUAUUAAUUACUAAUAGUCAUUAAUUUACUAUUCUUUUUUCCCUAUUUCCAACUUUAUUCUACUAAUAAUAUGGUUCAUUAAUAAUGUGUUCAUACCACCCUCAGGCCUGUCUGUUUUUCAUAGAUUACAUGAAUCUGUACAUAUAUACAUUAUAUGCUACAUAUAUACAAACACAUAUUAGGCACAUUAGGCACAUUAGAACAUGUUAUUUAAUAAUUAAAUAGCAAUUUACUGAGAAUUUACAACAGGUGCUAUAUAAAAUUUAUAAUAGGUGCUAAAUUUAAAAAUUUCAAAAUAAUUACUUCAUCAAUACAAAUGUAUUGGCUACAGGUCCAAAGCGCUAUGGUGAAUCUGAGAAAAAAAAAGAUCUUUCCAGUUGUAGAAUCAUAGAAGUCUUCCUGGAAGAGAUGUGUUUUGAUGUGGGGCUUGUUAGAAUGGCUAAGAUUUUGAGGGCCAGAAAUUAGCAAAAUAUUCUUGAUGAAGGAAAAGUGUAAACAAAGGACUUGGUUGGCAAGCAUUAGGAUGAAUUGGAGAAUGCAAAUAGUCCAUUGGGCCAAGACACAGUUUGCUGAUGUUUAGUAGAAAAAAAAAGUGUUUAAAGUAAUCUGAAGUCAAUUUGUGGACUCCAAUACUAGGUAAAGGUGUUUGGAAUUUUGCCAGUUCACUGUGGGGAGCCGAGAGGUUGAUUAACUGUCUACUUUUGAUGAUUAAUUAGCUUAUAAAGUAGACAGGACAGAGUGUGAAGAGACCAGUUAAGAACUUAUUAUCAUGGACUCAGGUGAUCUAUGUGCCAGGCUGAACGAAUGUGUUGGCUGUGAGUGUAGUGAGGAGGGAAUAUUCCACAGAUCUUCUGUCGGCUCACAACAGUGGAUGCAUAAGAACAAGAGCAGUGAAGACUUGUUGAGGCGGAUGAGGUAGAUUAAUUCUUCUUGGAUUUCAACACUAUGGUUUUGUGAAUUUCUGCAGAAAUAGUUGAUUGACUGGCAACAAUGGAAGCAGAAGAAACAAAUGGUGAUAACUGGAGAUCAUAGUUUGAAAAAUGAAAAGGUAUAGAAGGUCCGAAGAUAAGAGAUGACGCUAGGAGCAACAUCAUCAAUAUGACCUCACAGCUGCCACUGGCUCAAUAGAGAUACAGUUGAAGACAGCCAAAGAGAGUGAUUGGCUAGGGAUAUGGGUAGCAAUUUUGGAGUUUCUACGUCAUAAGUUCAAAAUGAAUAGAUUCAACAGAAGUGGAGAGUGGGAUGUGUGGUCACUAAAUGGGAUUUCCUGAAUGAAACUGUUCCAAAUACUGAGGGAACUCAGGUUGUAGUCAUGCAUAUUGAUGACUUAAAGGGAAAGAAAAUAAAUAUCAUUAGAAUCAAUGAAGCCAGGAAAUCCCUUAGUGUGGCCAGGAUGGCAAAGUCCAUAAACUGAGUGGGGACUAAGUUGCAGAAUUGAAAUACUUCCAAAACUGAAACAAAUUCAGAGCCAAAUUUCCUUGAUGUGUCUCAAUCUUAGUGAAGAAGCCUCAAUCUUUCUGCUGGGUUCUGAUAAUUGAAGAAUUCUUGAUUACUUACUAAUUUUUUGGCUCAUCAUUUAAUGCAGUUAUUGUACUUAUUUUCUUAUUCACCAAAGACAAAGGGCUGAUAAAUCCAUAAUCUCUGGACGUAUUUAAAAGAAUAGUCAAAAAUCUUCAUUACCCACAGACUCCACAUUUGUGAUAUGUGCAUUGUGAACAUAUGCAGAAAAAUGAAGAAUGUGUGUCACCUGAUGCCACAUCUUUUACAGUCUUGCACUUUUCGUGGAUAGUUUGGCUCUUUAAAAUGGCUUCCAAGUAUAUUGCUAACAUGCUGUCUGGUGUCCCUUUGUAUAAAAAGACUGCAUUGUGCCUGCUGGACAAAAUAUGUACGGUAGAUAAGCUGAGUUCAGACAUGAGUCACAUGACUGUGACAGUGGGCUCAUUGUUAAUGAAUCAACAUUAUAUAUUAAAUAAAAAGUCUUUAAAUAGAAACACAUGUAAAACGAAGUUAAGUCGUGAUCAGUUGAAAAACCUGUGACCACAGGCUUCUUUCAGUAACUCUGUCCUUCCUCCAGGAGCAGUUCUUCCGUAUUUACUAAUUCGCCAUUCACAGCAACUAUGAAGAGCAUGACUACUGCAAAUAAUAAGAACAGAGUACAACUUGUUUGUUUCAGUGAAUGGUAGCUGUAGAUCCUUCAUAGUACUUCAUGUAUUUGCAUAUCAAUUGAUAUGGUAACAAGAAUUGGAAAUAUUCUUGGGCUGUCAAACCAAUGGAUGCCAUGUAACUAAGUCCCUCCCUUGUCCUAGAUAUUCUAUUGAUAUAGACUGAGUAUAUUUUGGCUGUUUUGGGGGAAAAAUAGUUGACUUUGUAUCUUCCUUAUAAAUAAUUCAUUCCCCCUUACUCUUAUCCUGACCUCCUACCCUGGAGAUUUUCUAGAAUAAUAAUUGUACAGGACCUCCCCUGUGCAAUUCAGUUGGAGUUUUGAACCUAGCAUUCAAAACUUAUUUAUUUCUGUCACAUUUUGUGCUCUUCAUUUUGACCUCUUAUUGGAGUUCUCUGUAAACUUUGAUCUUGUCAUCUGGCAUAGCUUUUAUUUUCUCCCCACUUUCAAUAUCUGCAGAUUUAAUAAGAAUAUAAUCUAUUUUCAUUCAAGGCUUUAAUAAAAUAAACAAGACAGGGGGUCAAGCACAGAGCUCCUGGGCAAACCAUGUAGGUCUAGCCAAUUCACAGUAUAAAAUAGUUCCCAUCUAUACUUUCAUGUGGCCUCCAUGUCUUGUCCUGAGGGAAUAUGGUGGGAGGGUGGAGGUGGGCAGGAAGAACAUGGCAUGGUCAUUGACAAUGAUGAGCCUGACCUAACUAGAGUCCAGGGAGGCAUGUUGGCCAGCAGCUCCGAAUCCAGUUACACUUCAAGGAAGAUAGGUCACAUUAUGCCAUACAGGGAUAGACAUUACUGAGAAUGACAAUUCUAUAAUGUUUUAUUGCUUGUGAAGUUUCCUCACAUUCAUGGUCUCAUAAAUAUGAAAUGGAAUGAGAUAAGUUGUCUAAGAAGAUUUUAGUUUAAGGGAUGAUAAAUUAAACGCAGAAUUUAAAGCAGAUUAUUCUGUUGAUGGAAUUCUACAUGGACUGUGGGAUGACGUGACUAGAGAGAGGGAAAGAAGCGACUGGAGUUCUCCAAGAGGUGAGGAAGCAAAGAACUCAGAUGACGAUGGUAGUGAAAAGUGCACAGGAAAGGACAGAUGAAAGACAUCUGCUGCACAGAGGAGCAAUAGGACUCAGCAACCAAAAAUGGAUUUGGUGAGGGAGGAGGAGACUCAAAUCAAAGAUAACUCCCACACUUUAUACCUGGAAGAUUGAUGGUGCAGAGUGUGGAAAAAAGAGAAAGUGGUAAGCGGACCUUGUGUAGGGUGAGGUUAGUUUCAUCAACCUGUGCUUGGCUUAAUGGUGAUGAAGAGACAAGAGGAAUUCAUAGAUGAGAACCUAAGACAGAAGAGUCACCAUUUUUAACAUAGAGAAGGGUCUUCUGUGGAAUGAGAUUUUCACCUGGAAGCUUAAAUGGCCCCCUUUUGCAAUGCAGAACUACAGGAUAGCAGCAGCCAUCAGUACCCCUUGGUUUUCUAGCACCUAGUUGGAUUAUUGCAGAAGUGAUAUAUCCUUCCAGUUGAACCAAGGAUCGUUUAAUUUUGCAGAUCCAUUUCAGAUGUUGUAAAUGGCAAAUGUGGCUAGAAAAAGUCUUGGAAGAGGAAAUUGGCUAAGAAAAAAUAUGUCUAAAUCAUAGAAUGAGUCAUAGGAAUAAAAUCUUGGAUAUCUUAUUUAACCAUCAGCAAAUUGUCUGACAAAGUCAUCCACCUACUUCUAAAUAAAACAAGCUUUCUAUGUUUUCUUUCCAGUGGAUACUCAAUUUAUGGUCCUUUUAAACCCACCCCACCCCAUACAAAUGAAUACAAAGAAGAGAAUAGAAAGAUGUUAACUUGAAAUCCCAUUAAUCAGCCUUUAGAGAAGACCCUAUUAUUAAGUACUUGAUCAUCAACAUUACCAGACAUUUAUUAAACAUCUGAUUGCAUUUAUGCAAAGAAUACACACACAAGGCAAAAGUCACAUGGGCCUGCCCUCUCUGGGUAUAUAGGCCCUACAAGCAAGAGAGAAAAUAUGGUAAAAUGGCCACAUAGAAGUGCCUAAAUAAAGUGCUUAAAUGGCUCUAUUCAAUUAUGUUAGCAAGGCCUCAGCUCUCCUCUUUUAUCAAGGAACAUAAUUUUCCAUAUAAGUGAACUUUUACAGAAACAAAAGCUUGCCUAUCCAGGUAUCACAACCCCUGCCUUUUCAGUCUCUUCAAAUAAUUUUGGAGGGGUUACUGGAAAUUGAACCACUGAGCCAUAUCCCCAGCCAUUUUUAUUUUUUUAUUUAGAGACAGGGUCUCAAUAAGUUGCUUCUGGCCUUGCUUAGUUGCUAAGGCUGACCUUGAACUUGCAAUCCUCCCGUCUCAACCUGUUGAAUUGCUGGGUUACUGGCCAACACCAUCAUGGCUGACUUCUUUAAACAAUCAGUAUUUCACUACUUGAUGGCUAGGAUUCAUCCUCAUGAGUAGCUGUUAGUGAUUUUUGUGUUCUUGGGUGUGUUUCUCUGAUUUUUGUUCUUUAGUUGUCUUUUGUGUUCUGCUAUGGCAGUUGUAUUUCCAGGUUUUCUUGUGCCUGCUUCUCUGUAGAUCUCCCUCUUCACUUGUAGUUUGUUGCUCCACAGCAUCUUCAGACCUGGGGGUAAAAGCUAACCAGAUUGCCACAAUCGUAAAUGAAAAGGGUCGAUAGAUAAUUCUGAGUGGAUAGGCAUCGCUGUAUUGUGGAGAUGGUGAGAUUGCCACUUAAAGUGUUUGAUUUUCUCGUGUUUGCAUUCUAGGCUGGGAUCCAAAAAGUUGAGGUUGAAGAAAUACUGGCCUCUGGGUAUGAGAGGGCCUGCUGCUACAUCAUACCACUGAUGAUGAGGUCCCAAGUUAACACCUAAUGUGGGGAUAAAAAUGCAAUGUCUCAUGUCUGGAAAGUGAAGAAAUGACAGACAUCACUGUAACCAGCCUGAGAAAAUAAAAAUUUAGCUUAAUAUGACCUUAUAAAAAGAAGGUUAUCCUACUCUAGUUCUGAAUGUCCUCUCCAAAAUAUACAUAGAUAGAGACGCCAUUUUGUUAAUUUCACUGGAGGCCACUUUCUUAUACUUGAGUAAAAGGGUUUUCAUUCUACUAACUGAGGACGGUCAUUUUCAGAGCUUCUGAAAAGCUCUGUUCCCAAUGAGUCACAAAACAGUGCUCAAGAGAGCCAAGCCCUGAAGAGUCAGCUGAAAAUACAAAUUUUGGUAGAGAAAAGGAAAGGGCCACUCUGCUCUCAUGUAUCUGGAUAAGACUACAACCUUCUUUUAUUCCUGAAAUGUUAAGACCAAGAUUGGCUUCAAGUUUCAGGUCUUCUGUUAGGGUUUUUUUUUUUUUUUUUUUCCUGUACGGGGGAAUGGAACCCAGGGGCACUCUCCU